UGCAGUCCAUUUUACCAUUUUUUAAUUUAGUCAGGAAAAUGGCGAGCAUUGUUGGCCUGUUCUCAUAAUGUAAUGUAAUGUAAUGUUAUGUUACUUGAUUACUUGAAAUGUGCUUGCUUGAUUAACAUUAGUAUGUGCAGAAACCCCUCUAUAUGUGCAUUAUAGGGCAUUUUUAUUCACUGUUACAAUUAUUUUGUCCCUUUUACAGUUAUACUGACUAGGUCGUGUGAAUGUAAUAUUGGACUGCCUGUACUUUGGUUUCAAUUGAGUCCUACUCGAUUAAGUUGAAUGAAUGCAAUUGAAAUGUGUAAUCACUACUGACAUGUUAAAGCUGUUUGAAGUUCAAUUUCAUACUGCUAGACUAAAUGUUUUCGGAGUAAAUGAGCAAAAUCCAAAAUCUGUUACCUUUAUACAGACUCCCCUAUGCCUACCUUUCACGAAGAUAGUUGCAGCUGCAGAAAACAAACAAAAGCCCGGAGAAGAGGCUGUGUGGUAGUUGUAAUACUUCAGAAACAUACUUUCGAAACAAACUUUAUCAGAAAAACUGCCACUUCAAGCCAUAAUUCAACCUAGUAAUGAAGAUGAUGGUUCAGGAGGUGGAAAUUCACUUUCUGGGGAUGAGGAUGUUCCAUGAAAUUGAGGAUGGAGUGCGUUGAGAUCAAAGUGAAACCAAAACCAACGCCUCGACCCAUGUUAUCACCAUGAUGAUCCUCUGGGCACCCAGGACUACAGUUGACUGGGUUGGUGCCAAUGCUGAGAUAAGGAAACUGAGCUACCCAGAGGAAACCUACAUGGGCACAGGGAGAACAAGCAAACUCCACAAAGAAAGGCCCAGGACUUUUUUGUUGUGAGGCAACUGUGCUACCCACUGCACCACCGUGCCACCACAGCAACUCCACCAUACCACCCCUGCACCACCGUGCUACCUUUUGUACGUGCCAUCUCUGUGUUGGCGUGUCUGUGUAGGUAGAAAUUUUGCAUAUGCAUGGUCGUCCUCAGACGAGCCCUCCAGUGGCGUUUCCAGUCAUCUCGAUCCUCCAUGCAUCUGGCUAGCUCGCCAGUACUUUCCGCCCCUGCAUCUUCUUUUAGUACGUCCACUUACGUUGUUGUGGGAUGCCCUCGUGAUCGAUGCCCGUGUGUUGGCUCCCACAGCACCAGUUUGCUGGCUGGGAGCUCCCGGUGUCUCUGGCAGUGACCGGCCAGCCUCAUUCUCCUGGAUGCUAUUUUCUCACUCACCCUUGGUAGCCCCCCAUACAGAUCCUUGAUGGUAAUAUGUUCGUUCUGGUUGAUGUUCAGUACUACACGCAGUACUACAGUACUUCUCUCUGAAACUCUGUGCAGGUUAUUUUUAAAAAAACAACAAAAAAAAACAGUUUAAACCGAGGUAAGUAAAUUUAUGAAUCAGAAGAG